ensembl:snRNA U6 U6 spliceosomal RNA
GUGCUCACUUCGGCAGCAUAUAUACUAAAAUUAAAGCAAGACAGAGAAGAUGAGCAUGGCCCCUGCUCAAGGAUGACACACAAAUUCAUGAAGUGUUUUAUAUUUUU